GGAUGAACGCUGGCGGCGUGCCUAAUACAUGCAAGUCGAGCGAAUGAYGAGGAGCUUGCUCCUCUGAUUUAGCGGCGGACGGGUGAGUAACACGUGGGUAAUCUGCCUGUAAGACGGGGAUAACUCCGGGAAACCGGGGCUAAUACCGGAUAAUAAAAGAGGAAGCAUUUNUUNUUUUUGAAAGUCGGCAUCUCGCUGACACUUACAGAUGAGCCCGCGGCGCAUUAGCUAGUUGGUGAGGUAACGGCUCACCAAGGCGACGAUGCGUAGCCGACCUGAGAGGGUGAUCGGCCACACUGGGACUGAGACACGGCCCAGACUCCUACGGGAGGCAGCAGUAGGGAAUCUUCGGCAAUGGGCGAAAGCCUGACCGAGCAACGCCGCGUGAGCGAUGAAGGCCUUCGGGUCGUAAAGCUCUGUUGUUAGAGAAGAACAAGUACGAGAGUAACUGCUCGUACCUGA
rnacentral:rRNA from 1 species